GAUGAAGAACGUAGCGAAAUGCGAUAAGUAGUGUGAAUUGCAGAAUUCAGUGAAUCAUCGAAUCUUUGAACGCACAUUGCGCCCCUUGGUAUUCCAUGGGGCAUGCCUGUUCGAGCGUCAUUUGUACCUUCAAGCUCUGCUUGGUGUUGGGUGUUUGUCUCGCCUCUGCGUGUAGACUCGCCUCAAAACAAUUGGCAGCCGGCGUAUUGAUUUCGGAGCGCAGUACAUCUCGCGCUUCGCACUCAUAACGACGACGUCCAAAAGUACAUUUUUACACUCUUGACCUCGGAUCAGGUAGGGAUACCCGCUGAACUUAAGCAUAUCAAUAAGCGGAGGA
rnacentral:misc_RNA from 1 species